AUCGGUUGUCCAGUUCACAAUUUGAACUGGUUGAAAAAAUGGAAAAUUGUUGGGCCCAGAAACUAGGCAGGAAACAUGAGAGGGAGGUGUGCCAACUAAUUUGAAAGAUCUUUGGUAUGCAUGCUGAAGUGCCAAGCGAGUUUGAGGACCAAUUUUGCACUGGGUUUUAUGAACUGUCUAUAUAAAGAGCAAUUAUAACUACGUCUGUGAACUGUCCUCAUAAAUACCGAG
rnacentral:misc_RNA from 1 species